rnacentral:lncRNA from 1 species
GCAACUUUCAACGUAGUAAGUUUAGAAUGAACUUAGUCAACAAAAAUAUAAGUGAAGGGACAGAAAUAAAACGUGAAUACAAGACACGAGAUUACAGGAAACGCUUUUCCCAACUUUGUAUUUAACUCGAGCAUACAAAGAAACUCAAACUCGGCAGUACACUCCGCGUACAAAAAGGAAGAUCACUCUUAACCUUCACAAGACUUAAGACUCUUCCUAAAUCAGAAAACAUGCACUCAUACACGUUUUUGGACUCCAUAAGUGUGCUCUCACAAGUUUUUCUCUAUGCCAAAAAAGAGAAGGCUGCUGCCCAUUUAUAGAUUGUGAAAACAGCCUCAUGUUUAUAAUAGUUGCCUAGUUUUUAGUCUUGGCAUUUGCCCACUACUUUUUCCUAGUGUAGUUGACACCCCCAACUACUAGGAACAUGUUAAGAUCAUGGGAUCAUGGUCUCAAUUCGUGCUAACUCCUGCAAGCAUGAUAGACAAAGCUCAACCGCUGCCCGUGUGCAUAGCAAGUACGGGUGACCGCCGUUUUACUUGGUCCAUUCCCAUGUUGCUGCCCAAUUUCGCGCCUUGGCUUGGACCAGGCGCCAAUGCCAUUGUAUCCAGCUGCAUUGUGCCCCAAUUUGCCUUACCAUUGCCCAAGAACUUGGCUCGUUUGCCGCAACUCGAACCCACACCAAAUCUGCCCACACAUUGCCUUUCCGUUUGCACAUUUGCUUGCCUUUGCCCAUCCGUUUCUGCCAUGCCUUGGCAUCAAUGCCUCAUGCCUUGAUGCUAUAAUCAUGAUCAAGUGCCAUCCGUAACCCGCAACUCAUUAUCAAGCCCUUUCCAAGCUGCCUCGCAUCCGUUUAAAGCCUUAGCCAUCGCUUCCCUGUUUUCCCUUUUUAACUUUGGCACCACUCUUGCACCAAUAUUGCAACACUCUUGUUGCUUCAUGACAACACUCUUGUUAUCAAGUCGAUGUUGUUUCAAAAAAUUGAAGAAGAGAUUUUGUCAAGAAUGUUAAGAUUAAUGUUUUAAAGCAAACACCAAGGAAUAAUGUUCUUUUUUUUUUUUUACAAAAACUAAAAGCUACUCUCAAAACUAACUCAUUUGUUUUAGUAAAAAUUUAAAAGAAAAAAAAUCUCUCUUGGUAUUUGGUUUAGAAUUUUUCUUGGAAGAAAUUACUAUAAAAAUAAUUUUUAGAAUACUCUUUUUCAAAAAUUUCAAACAGCUGCCACCAACCAUCUCUUUAAUCAAGCAUCACUCAAAACCCAUUAUGAUGCAAGCCCUUCCAUUUGACCACUCACAGAUCCAUUACUUGUUAGGAUUAUGAUUCCUACUAAAGACAAUAACCUUCAUAUCGAAUAAUUUGGAUUUAAACUACAUGAGCGGAAGCUAACCUGAAUCCAUAUGUGGAAUUUGANN